rnacentral:lncRNA from 1 species
UCUCCUUCAAAAACUAGGGCAAGCACAAAACACCUCUCGAUACCUCUACCACUCUCCCUCUCCUAUCUUUUUUUUUUUCUCUCCAAAUCUCCAAACUCUCAUCACAUCCUUCCUUUCUCUUUCCCAUUCCAUGUUCCUUUUUUUAUAAUUCCAAGUUCUUCUCUUUCCUCUCAUUCUUUCCUUCAAUUGCUAACAUAUUUCCUUAGAAUCUCUUGAAACUUCAAAACCUACAGAUGAUUGAAGAACCACCACAAGUGCACAUUUGUAGGUGGAAAAUGUACUUCUCGUGAAAUGGUGGAGUCUCAUUACUUGAUUUAAGGUCAUCAUCGAAUCUGGUUUUGUUUCUUUUAACGUUUACAAGUGAUUUUUCCUUUCCUCUUGAUUUUAUUUUUCUUGCUAGCUUGUAAAGAUCACCAGAUUUCAAUUUCCACUUAAAUGUUACCAGUAGUAUAUGUGUGUUCCAAACAUUUGUACUUUUAAAAUGUUUCAUUAUCCCUCUUACGAGAGUAAUCUUGCAGCAAUCUUUGAAUCAAUUUUGCAAAGGGGGGCUUCCAAAUUAGCUAUUUCGUUCUUCUAGAGUGAGUACGAUUCGGAUGUUUUGUACUAAUUUUAGGGUUUCUUUUAUAUAUAGUCUCUCUUUCCCAUAUGGAUUAAGUUUCACUGUUCGUAAAUGUUGGAGCAAUUUUCUCAUUUGACUUCACCAUUGAUUAGAUUUGGUAAUGUUGGAAUUAAGGAGGCUGUUAGAGAUGUUAACUCCAACUUCACUUGCCUUGUAAGGACGAAACUUCUUAUUGAGAUGCAGAGUUCAAAUCACAGUGGAAUGGUUAGGAUGGUUGGAAGUGGUUUUUUAUAGUUGUUUUUCCGAAGAUUUCUUUUUAGACAUUUUUCAUUCUCCUAUUAUAUUAUUUUAUAUGCUAAGAAAAUCUUUGGGGGG